AAACCUGCUUCUUGCUAUAUUAACAUAGCUGCAAAUUCUUUUAUUUAUACAAUUGGUUCUUUUCUUUACACAUCAAUUUAUAGACACUUUCAUUUUUUGAAAUACAGCAUUGCUUUUUAGCUCACCUGGCCAAUAGGGCCAAGUGAGCUUUUCUCAUAUUUUACCAAACUUGGCUACAAUCAUUAUUAGGGUAUCUAGUUUUAAAAAUGUGUCCGGCAAUCCGGCCAACCAACCAAGAUGGCUGCCAUAGCUACAAAUAGAACAUAGGGUUAAAAUGUACAUUUGUAGAUUUUGGCUUAUAACUCUAAAAGCAAAGCAUUUACAGCAAAUCUGACAUGGGGUAAAAUUGCUGAUCAAGAUAUAUCUGCUCUGAAAUUUUCAGAUGGAUCAGACAACCUGUUGUUAGGUUGCUGCCCCAGAAUUUGUAAUUUUGCCCUAUAUAGUCAUUUCUAAAAUUUGGUAAAUUUUUGUAAAUUUUUGCAAAAUAUUUUCAACUCACUUCUGGGCCAAGUUCAUUAGAGUGGGGUGCGCAUAUUCGCCGCGGACACAAUUUCGCCGUUUUAUAAUUUUGAGUUGUAAAUACAUCAAAAGAUGGCUGAAAUGGAAGACAUAUGCCGGUAACUAAGAUUUUUAUAACAAAUAUGAUUUUAUUUUAAACUACGACAAAAUUGAGGCACUUACCGCAAAGGACCGAAAAACGGAUAACGAUUUAAGGCCAAUUUUCUGAAUGAAUAACACGAUUUCAAAGAAGUAUUUCUUAGUAAAUUUUUGACUGAUUGUCCUAAAUUUCAGUUCUGUACACCUUUGAAAUGUCUGCUAUUGCCAUCUAUAAUGAAAUUGAUUUGAAAAAUAUUGUUUAAAGCUGCAGUUAAUUGGGUUUAAAUAGAUGUAUAAAAACGGCGAAUAUGUGUCCCCCAUUGACAAAACAUGGCAAUUUCAAACACCCUUUAAUCUAACUUUUCAGAUGAUUAUUUUCAAACAAACACGUUUUCAAGCUUAAGAAUAUUUUGCAUUUGAAGUUAUCUUCAUAAAAAAAUAUCAGUAUACUUCAAAAACAUAUAGACCUGAACAUAAACUGUGGAAAACAUGGAAAGAUAUGGCGAAAAUGAGCACCCCACUCUAUAGGUAGAGAUAAUUGUAAGCAACAAGAUUGUUCAGUAAAGUAAUAUCUAAAAACACAUCACCAACACCAAAACACAAUUUUGUCAUGAAUCCUUCUGUGUCCUUUGCUUAUUAUGCACAUAGACCAAGGUGAGAGACACUGGCUCUUGAGAGCCUCUAGUUUGUCAAACCUUCCACUUUAGAAGAAAAGGCGAGGUGUAGCGAUCCUACAUUCUGUCAUCGGCGGA
rnacentral:lncRNA from 1 species